rnacentral:rRNA from 1 species
GUGGGGAAUCUUAGACAAUGGGGGAAACCCUGAUCUAGCCAUGCCGCGUGAGCGAUGAAGGCCUUAGGGUUGUAAAGCUCUUUCAGCUGGGAAGAUAAUGACGGUACCAGCAGAAGAAGCCCCGGCUAACUCCGUGCCAGCAGCCGCGGUAAUACGGAGGGGGCUAGCGUUGUUCGGAAUUACUGGGCGUAAAGCGCGCGUAGGCGGACCAGAAAGUUGGAGGUGCAAUCCCAGGGCUCAACCUUGGAACUGCCUUCAAAACUCCUGGUCUGGAGUUCGAGAGAGGUGAGUGGAAUUCCGAGUGUAGAGGUGAAAUUCGUAGAUAUUCGGAGGAACACCAGUGGCGAAGGCGGCUCACUGGCUCGAUACUGACGCUGAGGUGCGAAAGCGUGGGGAGCAAACAGGAUUAGAAACCCGGUAGUCC